AAGGUUUUUAAUCCAUUCUUUAUCUACAAGGCAGCAUGUAUUUUUAAAGUCAUGAUGUGUUUUUUUGCAGAGAGCAGGAACAUUUCUUGAUCCACUCAGUCAGAUAUUGUUUUUUCAUUGAACAAUUGAGGAUUUCGAUAUUUGAAGUUAUUAUUGAAGCCUAUGCUAAUUGUUGUCUUAGUAUUGUUAUUUGUUUCCUUGGUGGUGCCUUGUGUUUUAAUAAUUAUGGCUAUGGAUUUCUUUCUACAAACUCUCUGCUAUGCUUAUUCCUCUUGUCAGGCCUAAAUAUUGCUUCUUAUAUUCUCUUUUGGUUUAAUUUGUUUCUAAAUUUUUGUUUUUGUUUUGUUUUGUUGGCAAUGUAUAGCAUGGAAUAUUUUUCUUUCUCUUUCAAUAGUUAUCAGACAGUUUUUCUGGAUCUAUUAGUCUAUUAGCCAUAGACUAAGUUUAAGGCUUGGAAUGCAUUGUUCCACAUUCUUCUGGCUUUCAAUAUUUCUGUUGAGAAAUCAUCUGUUGUUCCGAUGACUUCUCCUUUGUAUGUGGCUUGCAGUUUUUCUCUUCCUUUUUCAAUAUAUUUUCUUUGUUAUGUAUACUUUGUGUUUUAACUAUGAUAUGCCACAUGGAUUUAUUUCCUGUCUAUUUGAUGUUCUGUUCACUUUUUUAUCUAUAUAGGUGUGUUUUUCCUCAAAUUGGGAAAGUUUACAAAUGUUCUUGUUGAAGAUCUGGUCUAUGUUAUUGAUGUGGGAUUUUUCUCUUUCAUCUAUGCCCUUAAUUUGUAAAUUUUAUUGUUUUCAUGGUAUGCCACAUUUCCCAUAUUUUCUUUUCCUGUUUUUUUCCAUAUUAUUUGCUUAUUUGGUUUUGUCUCUCCUUUAUCUUUGAACCCUGAUGUCCUAUUUUCUGUUUGAUUCAUUCCACUUGUAAGACUUUCCUUUGAGUUUUCUAGCUGAUUGACUGGGUUUUUCAAUUCCGUCUUUAUUUCAGUUUGAUUCAUCUUCAAUGUUUUUUCUAUAUCCUUAUACUGAAUUCUGACCUCUAGUGUUGGAUUGUCCUUUUUAUUUCUAGUAGCCUUAUGUUUGUAUUUUUGGGGCAUCAUUUGGGUCUUUUUUUUUUCUUUAAGCUAUUUCUUCUAAGUUUUGUGUCCUGGGUUCAUCUAGUUGUUUAUCAUGGGUAAACAUUUGCAAAGGACUUGUAGUAUUGAGAGAGGAGAUGAUGACUUGAUCUUUUGUGUUGUUUAUGAGAUCUGGGCUUGUUGACUUCUUUCAUUAGUUCUAAGUCUUAGGUAUAGAACAGAUUAAGGCACAAUAGAGGAUUGUGUUGGGGGGCUAGAGGAUAGAAAUAUUUUUAUUGGUGGAAUUUACUCAGGUGGAUAGAGGAGUCUGGGAUUGUGUAUACAAUUUGUAUCCUGGUCCAAUCCUGGAGUAUAAAAGUAGACCUGCUGGAUGGAAUGGCGUGAUAUGGUAUGAGAGAAGCCCUUCAAUUGAGAAUUGGAAGGGAGGUUCCUGGAUGAACUCAAGAGAUCAUUUGUGGUCAGGCAAGGGUGGCUAGAUUGCUAUAAACUUUAGAUGUGUGGGCUAUCUCUGCUGUGUCAUGGGGAGUUCAUAAAUAGGUAGGGUGAGAAACCUCACUGUGUUAUACAUUGGAGAAAGACUUGGGCUCUAUGGCUGGUGGGAAGUAUGGCUGAAAUCCAGAAAGGAUCUGGGGUUGGUGACAGGUUGUAUGGGUAAGAAGGAUAUGGAUGAUCUGUCUGGGUGGUGAGACUGGCUGUGAUGCAAAAGAUACCCAUAGUUGUGGGACAUAACCUGGAAGAAGUCUAGAUGUUCAUUGCAGUGUAGACAGGGAUGAUCAGAUUAGUCCAGGAUACUAGAUAUGUGGCAUAGGCUAGAUCUGGUGGGUUGAGAAAGUGUGGGUAGGGAGAUCAGGGAGACCCACUGGGCCACAUCCUGGAAAAGAAAUGGGGGUUCUGGCUGGUUAGAAAUGUUGGAUGUGACACUUGCAAUAGACUUUAAGGGGAGAAACUUAUGAGAUACCUGUAGGUCAUUGAGAGUAUGACCUCAGGAAAGUGACUGCUCCCCAGAGAGAGCUAUACCAAAGUUACUUAAUGUAAAAACCCAAACGUGAGCACUUCAUCCUCUCUGUCUUCUGUUUAUAAAAGUAAGUGAGCUAUGCUCCUUGUAAACACUCCCAGUACACACCAGGGAGCCCUUGUCAGAGUCAGUAUUACAUUGUACUUUCAGCUAAAUAGACUUCUAUUCUAUGUAAAGCUACUCUGCCUGAAGCACUUUAUUCCUGCAGUAAAUACUAAUAUAGCACUACAACAAUAUUUCAUUUUUGUUAUUAUUUAUGCGACAAAGUGCAUUUGCAGUUUAGAUUUAGAUGUAUUCUGUAGGCUACUGUCUGUCCUUACUUUCCACCCAAAGUUUGCCAUAUACAUUGCAGUGGAGCUCUGAAUCUCAGACUGGUUUUGUUUGUGUGUUUGUUUUUCUAAUUAGCCAUUUGUUUAAUUUACCAAAAUGCUUGUGAAUAAAAUAUGUGACAACGAUGGAGAAGAUAAUCCCUUGACACAAGAAUCCUAUGCCUGAAGAUCCAACCCAUCUUCUCUGCCCCAGAACACAGCAAAAUAAAAUUUAAGAGAAAACAAUGAAAAAAAGGGGGAGAAAGGGAAAAUCUCAUCAUGGAAGCUGCAGUGUGAAACAGUGUAUCCAUAAUUUCACAAUGCUGGGCCCUCACUGAAUCUCUUCUUGGACAUCGUGUUGCUUCCCUGUAUCAUGGAGAUCCUGCUGCUCUGGGUCCUUAAGACUGGCCCCAUCUCUACCCCAUCCCCACCCCAUAGGGUGAAUGUCGAGGUCUGCAUAUCAGUUUAUUAAGAUGGAAUCGCUGCUAAUUACAUGGUAGAGAAGCUAAUUGCCAUAAUCAUUGUGGUUCUCCAGAAUACACAUUGGAAUCAAAUGGUUUAAAACCACAAGGAACUUUUCCUGAUGCCUGGUGACAAGGCUGAGGUGGAUGAAUCUGUGCAGCUACUUCAAUCUGUUAAAGAGUUUGUGGGCCACACAGUGGUCACGUGCAUACAAGAAGUCAAAGAGCUCCUCUGUACAAUCCUUUUCGUCUGUGUUGGGGAAGACAUGCUUAUCACAAAGCUCUAGCCGCUCCCUGGCCUUUACACACUUCUCUAACUGCUCACAUUGCUCUCUCACUGUAGUUAGGGGGUCCACUAAUUCCUCCUGCUCUUCUUCCUCUUUGGAGUCUCUGGAUCCAGUAAGCAUCUUUCGUUCGUCCUCUAGUCCCAUGUCAGGAAGCUGUUCAGGACUCAACACCAGGAGAAACAUUUCUUAUUCCACUUCAGGAUCAAAAAUCCUGUUUCCCACUUUUUUCCUCCCUUUUUUUAUUAGAAAGAAAAUUACUUUACAUUUCAAUCUCAGUUCCCUCUCCCUCUCUCCUCCCCUGACCCCCCCCAACUAACCCUGUACCCAUCACAUACCCUUUCUGCUCCCCAGGGAGGGUGAGGCCUUUGAUAGGGGGUCUUCAAAGUCUGUCAUAUUCUUUGGGAUAGGGCCUAGACAAACCUGCUUGUAUCUGGGCUCAGGGAGUAUCCCUCCAUAUGGUUGGUCCGAAAGUAGUGUUGUUUACAACUAAUUGAUCACAAUCUGUUUCCCACUUUUAUUCAUGUAUAGUUCUUUUAGUAGGCUUGAGGCCUCAAGGAUUUUUGUUCAUCCAGUUUGGUGUAUUCAUUAAACUCAUCCAUAUUUUAAAUAAAAUUCAGUGAGAUUAAAGACAACCACAGAGAAAGGUAUAUUAGCAUGAUAAAUAAGUGGGAGAGGAUCGAGUGAGAGACCAGGGAGAGGAAUAGGAGAAGGUAACCAAUUGAGAGAAACAGAGGUGCUAGUCAGUGAGGACUUGUUACUAGAUGUCUUUUUCUCCAUGUCCCAGACACUUCCUCUAUCUCCAGGCUAACUAUGCAAACUUUAUAUUACUAUGGUUUGUUGUUUUUGUUGUUAUUUGUUCUGUUGGAGAAAGUGGCUCAUCAUGAAGAGAUUAAAAAGAGG
rnacentral:lncRNA from 1 species